rnacentral:rRNA from 1 species
CCUACGGGAGGCAGCAGUGGGGAAUAUUGGACAAUGGGCGAACAGCCUGAUCCAGCCAUGCCGCGUGUGUGAAGAAGGUCUUCGGAUUGUAAAGUCACUUUAAGUUGGGAGGAAGGGCAGUAAGCUAAUACCUUGCUGUUUUGACGUUACCGACAGAAUAAGCACCGGCUAACUCUGUGCCAGCAGCCGCGGUAAU